AAGAGAAGAGUAUGUUAAGAUAGCCAAGGUGACCGCCUGACUAACCUUUUCGAAAGCUCUAAUUAACCAACAUAAUUGCAUGGUAAUUAGCUUGAUAAUAAUUAAACCUUCAUAAAAUGAAGCAGGCAAGUCAUCCUUGGCUACUAAACCAUGACUCUUAACC
rfam:Spinacia oleracea cultivar SynViroflay scaffold25060.con0005.1, whole genome shotgun sequence.